rnacentral:rRNA from 1 species
UAAAUAUAGAUAGGCCCUUACAACCUAUCCGCCCGGGUACUACAAGCAUAAGCUUAAAACCCAAAGGACUUGGCGGUGCUUAAGACCCCCCUAGAGGAGCCUGUUCUAGAACCGAUAACCCCCGUUCAACCUCACCCCCUCUUGUUUUCCCCGCCUAUAUACCGCCGUCGUCAGCCUACCCUGUGAGGGUCAAACAGUGGACAAAAAUGGUACAACCUAAAACGUCAGGUCGAGGUGUAGCACAUGAGGGGGGAAGAAAUGGGCUACAUUCUCUAAAAUAGAGAACACGCACGACACCCUGAAAUGGGUGUUUAAAGGUGGAUUUAGCAGUAAGUAGGAACUAGAGAGUUCUACUGAAACCGGCCCUAAAGCGCGCACACACCGCCCGUCACUCUCCCCAAGCUCUAAUUAUAGAAACCUAAACAAAACACCUGCAAAGGGGAGGCAAGUCGUAACAUGGUAAGCAUACCGGAAGGUGUGCUUGGAAA